AUUGAACGCUGGCGGCAGGCCUAACACAUGCAAGUCGAACGAGUGGCGGACGGGUGAGUAAUGUCUGGGAAUCUGCCUGAUGGCGGGGGAUAACUACUGGAAACGGUAGCUAAUACCGCAUACCAUCGGAUGUGCCCAGAUGGGAUUAGCUAGUAGGUGGGGUAAAGGCUCACCUAGGCGACGAUCCCUAGCUGGUCUGAGAGGAUGACCAGCCACCCGGGAACUGAGACACGGCCCAGACUCCUACGGGAGGCAGCAGUGGGGAAUAUUGCACAAUGGGCGCAAGCCUGAUGCAGCCAUGCCGCGUGUAUGAAGAAGGCCUUCGGGUUGUAAAGUACUUUCAGCGGGGAGGCGUUACCCACAGAAGAAGCACCGGCUAACUCCGUGCCAGCAGCCGCGGUAAUUC
rnacentral:rRNA from 1 species